GAUGGAGCGGUGGAGAGGAGGAGAUGAGCGCCUUAAGAUGGGUCCCGGGCAGAGUGCAGUGGCAGCGUGGCGCAGCGCCCGGCGCUCCUGUCCAUACAGCUGACACCCAUGGGAGAAAAGGGAGUCGCACCUGAAACCCGACAGUAUACGGCCUCACCGGAAGCCUCACCUCUGGUUUCCUCUUGCAACAGGUGACAGAGCCAAGUGACGCACAAAUAAAACCAGGCUGGAGAAAGGGAAGAUGGGAAGUAUGGGUUUCACCAGCCCAGCCCAGCCCCACAGCAUGGGUGUGUGUGUGUUUAAUACGCUGUGAAUGCUGGGAAUGCCUCCUGUGCUGAGGAUUUAGUGUUUGAUGUGUCGCCCCCAUCUGGUUAUAAAAGUAACUGCACUGCAUUCAGAAGAUGGGUAGGUGAUGCUGCUCAGGUGAGGCCUGCUCGCUCCGUUUCCUCAUUUUAAUAAUGUGUCAUAGAUUUUCCAGCAGUGUGGCACAUCGCCACCCUCACUGAUCAAUGGCUUUGGCCUGUUGGAUCACAGACACCUGUUUGUUCUGCAGCUGUUUGCCAGCAGCAGCACUGAUGCAAAACUAAUACUGAUGCAAAUCUGAUACUGGCAAGAAAGUUAAUAUAUUUCUCUUUUAGAGAACAAAUUAAAACUCAUUUAUCUCAUAAUAGGCCUGUGAAACCUGUGAUUUUUAUUUUUAUUUCAUUAAAAUUCAGAUUAGUGGGCAAAGUGGGACAUGUACUUUAAACGUUCAUGAUAAUAAUAAUUUAGUCAGUGU